UUCAGACUGACCUAUCCUCCCCAUCACACCAAGUGGGACUAACAGAGGAAGUGCUGUCUCCCAGGCUCUGGGUGUACUUGCAGCUUCCCAAGACUCAGUAGUGAACUGAUGGAGGCUGAUGGGAAAUACAGAAGACUGACAAUGUGGAACAAAAUAAAUCAAAACAAGGAAUUAAUUUCCUGAAGACACUGUGCACCAGUCAAGCAUGGUCUAUUGGGAAUGAAAAACAGGAGGAAGGAAAGCAGAGAAGGAUGUGCUAAUGUUAUGAUGUUUUAGCAAUAUUUUCAAGCCCUGAGUCCUUCUACCAAUCAUACUGUGUCAUUUAAAUUUAAGACUGUAAUAACAUUGGUUUACGGAAAUAUUUUCACUUGUGUGACUUCACUUGCUCCUGACGCCAGAGUUCAGAGGGUGUGUAAAUAAGAUGGGAAGAAGGACAUAAGAUCACUGACCAACUGCAACAGCAUCAACAAAAGCAGCUCAAAACGGUUAACAGGUUCAAGCUGAAACUGAGCUGAGAUUUGAAAAUCAGACUAGUCAAGACAAAAACGACUUCAAAAACAAUAUUCAGAGAAAGAAGAGUCAUGGAGACCUGGGCCUGGCACAGAACAACAAGGACACAGUGUAUGUGUGACUACUGACUCUGAUGCUAUUUAAGUUUUAUCCACCA